rnacentral:rRNA from 1 species
UACGGAGGGUGCAAGCGUUUGUCCGGAUUUAUUGGGUUUAAAGGGUGCGUAGGCGGCCCGUUAAGUCAGUGGUGAAAGCCUCCAGCUCAACUGGAGAACUGCCAUUGAUACUGACGGGCUUGAGUACAGACGAGGUUGGCGGAAUUGAUUGUGUAGCGGUGAAAUGCAUAGAUACAAUCAAGAACUCCGAUUGCGAAGGCAGCUGGCUACACAAAUAUUGACACUGAGGCUCGAAAAGCGUGGGGAUCAAACAGGA